AACGGUAAGGCCCUUUCGGGGGUACACGAGUGGCGAACGGGUGAGUAACACGUGGGUAAUCUGCCCUGCACUUCGGGAUAAGCCUGGGAAACCGGGUCUAAUACCGGAUAUGAGCUCUCACCGCAUGGUGGGGGUUGGAAAGUUUUUCGGUGCAGGAUGAGUCCGCGGCCUAUCAGCUUGUUGGUGGGGUAAUGGCCUACCAAGGCGACGACGGGUAGCCGGCCUGAGAGGGUGAUCGGCCACACUGGGACUGAGACACGGCCCAGACUCCUACGGGAGGCAGCAGUGGGGAAUAUUGCACAAUGGGCGGAAGCCUGAUGCAGCGACGCCGCGUGGGGGAUGACGGUCUUCGGAUUGUAAACUCCUUUCAGUAGGGACGAAGCGAGAGUGACGGUACCUGCAGAAGAAGCACCGGCCAACUACGUGCCAGCAGCCGCGGUAAUACGUAGGGUGCAAGCGUUGUCCGGAAUUACUGGGCGUAAAGAGCUCGUAGGCGGUUUGUCACGUCGUCUGUGAAAUCCUCCAGCUCAACUGGGGGCGUGCAGGCGAUACGGGCAGACUUGAGUACUACAGGGGAGACUGGAAUUCCUGGUGUAGCGGUGAAAUGCGCAGAUAUCAGGAGGAACACCGGUGGCGAAGGCGGGUCUCUGGGUAGUAACUGACGCUGAGGAGCGAAAGCAUGGGGGAGCGAACAGGAUUAGA
rnacentral:rRNA from 1 species